rnacentral:rRNA from 1 species
UGGGGAAUUUUGGACAAUGGGCGCAAGCCUGAUCCAGCAAUGCCGCGUGCAGGAUGAGGGCCUUCGGGUUGUAAACUGCUUUUGUACGGGACGAAACGGCUCUGUCUAAUACAUGGGGCUAAUGACGGCACCGUAAGAAUAAGCACCGACUAACUACGUGCCAGCAGCCGCGGUAAUACGUAGGGUGCAAGCGUUAAUCGGAAUUACUGGGCGUAAAGCGUGCGCAGGCGGUGAUAUAAGACAGAUGUGAAAUCCCCGGGCUCAACCUGGGACCUGCAUUUGUGACUGUAUAGCUAGAGUACGGUAGAGGGGGAUGGAAUUCCGCGUGUAGCAGUGAAAUGCGUAGAUAUGCGGAGGAACACCGAUGGCGAAGGCAAUCCCCUGGACCUGUACUGACGCUCAUGCACGAAAGCGUGGGGAGCAAACA